rnacentral:rRNA from 1 species
UUUGGGCGUAAGGGCUCGCAGGCGGUUUCUUAAGUCUGAUGUGAAAGCCCCCGGCUCAACCGGGGAGGGUCAUUGGAAACUGGGGAACUUGAGUGCAGAAGAGGAGAGUGGAAUUCCACGUGUAGCGGUGAAAUGCGUAGAGAUGUGGAGGAACACCAGUGGCGAAGGCGACUCUCUGGUCUGUAACUGACGCUGAGGAGCGAAAGCGUGGGGAGCGAACAGGAUUAGAUACCCUGGUAGUCCACGCCGUAAACGAUGAGUGCUAAGUGUUAGGGGGUUUCCGCCCCUUAGUGCUGCAGCUAACGCAUUAAGCACUCCGCCUGGGGAGUACGGUCGCAAGACUGAAACUCAAAGGAAUUGACGGGGGCCCGCACAAGCGGUGGAGCAUGUGGUUUAAUUCGAAGCAACGCGAAGAACCUUACCAGGUCUUGACAUCCUCUGACAAUCCUAGAGAUAGGACGUCCCCUUCGGGGGCAGAGUGACAGGUGGUGCAUGGUUGUCGUCAGCUCGUGUCGUGAGAUGUUGGGUUAAGUCCCGCAACGAGCGCAACCCUUGAUCUUAGUUGCCAGCAUUCAGUUGGGCACUCUAAGGUGACUGCCGGUGACAAACCGGAGGAAGGUGGGGAUGACGUCAAAUCAUCAUGCCCCUUAUGACCUGGGCUACACACGUGCUACAAUGGACAGAACAAAGGGCAGCGAAACCGCGAGGUUAAGCC